CUUAGGACAGCCCCCAGCCCCUCUGGACACACUCAUACUGGGCUGUCAGAGUCCAGCUUCAAGUGGGGAGGGGGAUAUGGAGAACUAAGCAAGGUCCCAAGUGCCCCAGGUGACAAGGUCCUGCUUCUUCAUCUGGGUGAUCAGAGCAUGGGAAGGCUAAGGAUGUCUUUGUAGUCCUUCCCACCUGAGCUCAGGAUGGCCUGCCAACCCCAGAGCACCCCACUACACACCCACCCACCCCAUUACCUCUCUCCUCAUUUCCAUUUGCUUUCCUUUGGCUCAUUCUAGUUCAGUCACAUGGGUCCUCUGGCUGCUUGCACAGCUCAGGAACACCCUGGGCCACAGGGCCUUUGCAUGUACUUCCUAGGGAGUGCUCUUUCCUCAGAGAUAUGCAUGGCUCACCCAAUCUCCUCCUGCCAUUCGUUAUCAAGCAUCACCUUUCACCAAGAUCCUUCCUUAUUUGAAACUGGUAACCCCCCUCCCAACACAGUUUCUAGCUCUCUUCCUGCUUUCCUUUUCUCCCGGACAUUUCAUUACAUUUAAAAUGAUGAAUUUUACUUAUAUGUUUUUUUUUCUCCCCCCACCAAAGAGUGAGCUCUACAAAGGUUGGGAUUUUUGUCUUGUUUUCAAAUGCUCCACCCACUCCCCCUGUGCAGGCCCGCGUCCCCAGCGCUGAGAACUAACUGCCUGGCACCAAAUAAACACACCAUUGUACAGUGACUGAAAGAGCAGAGGAAGGGGCGAAGGAGUGGGGCAGCAGGUCUGGGUGUGGAAAGAAGAGGAGGGAGCUCCUUUUCCCAGAAGAGCCACUCAAGUGCCAGGAAUUUGGGGAGAUUCUUGGCAGAGAUCGGGGACCCCAUCCAGGGAGGAAAACUGCGGGAAAAGUCAUUUUUGAGGCGACGACGUUGGGUCGGUGUCUGUACUCGCCGGCGUGUCUGCUGCUGCCUCUCCAGCGGUCAAAGGCAGCCUGGUCCUCACCCUCGACACCUCCCGGGGAGGGGACGGGAACAUGAGAAGUCGCAGACACUUUGAUUAACUCCCCAGCAAGAGUCCCCACGCCUGUGUCCCCUCCUCCCCCAAGGCUGCAUGGACUGUGUCCCUGAGGGCGGCUGUGUGACACCAGGCAGCGACCUGCAGAGGUGACGGAUUAGACCAUGACAGCUGUGACCUGAUCUGACCUUUAAUCCACUAGGAUGCUCUCCUGACCUCGGGCCUGACCUAGGGCAACGUGGACUGAACCUCUGAAACUGGGAACACGAUCAACUUUCCCUCUUCUGAGUUCUCACUGUUGUCAGGGCUUUUGGUCACAGGGAUACAAAGCUCACUAAAACACUGACUGUGGUAGUGGUGACAUAAACCUGUGACCAGGAAGUUGUCAACUUUACCACGUUAGUGUAAGAGAGAAAUCCCGGGCAAAAGCACCGUGCUGGCCGAGAGGGCCUGUGUGCCCGGGCCCAGCUGCGAGGUCAGGGAAGGGGCCCGUCUGCACCCCUCUGCUCUCCGGCCGGGCUGGCACUGUGCUCCUGGCCAGAGUCACAUACAGGAGAUUCUGCUCAGAGGUCAGGAGUCUGGAUGUGGGGCGGCCAGCAGAUGGGUGAUAUCCACUUCCUGGGAGGAGCCUUUGGGCACGGGGGGUGUGGGGGGGUGGGGUUCUGAUGCAAUGCCCUCCCGCCGUGGAGACCCCCACUCUGGUCAGCAGCUCCUGGAGGAGUAGAGACAGCAGAUUCAGACUCAGUGGACACGGGAGGGGGGGACCACCAGCCACUGGGAUGAGCCACGGACUGCAGAGCGCCGGCGAGUGCCCCCCGCUCUGGUUCCAACACGUUUAUGAAGCCCCAGAGGCCGGUUUGCUCAUCUGGAGGCCUAGGCUGUGUCUGGACCUUGGCCCUAGGUAACUGCAUGAUCCCCUUGUGCCAGGCUGUCCGCUCUGAGCAAUGGGGGACUCUGGACAGUGCUGAGCACGGAGGAUCUAGGAUGAGUGGAACCAGAGCUCAGGAAGCCUGAGUUAAGUCCCCACCACCAUCCCGGGCUGCAGCAGAGCAGAGUGAGUGGCCACAUGUCCCAUGGGAAGCCGCUAAGGUGUGCCCCUCCAGCCAGAGUGCAGCCUCCUAGCCAGGCUCUGGGGUGCCCUGGGGGUGGGGUGGGCUGGGAGUGGCUGACCCAGGCCUGCACCAAGGUGGACUCUGUCCCUGAGGCCCUGCUGGAGGGUACAGAGGGUCUUUUUUUAAAGGCACCAAAAAUUGAACCUAGGGGUGCUUAACCACGGAGCCCCAGCCCCAGCCCUUUGAACCUAGGAUCCUCUGGCCUCAGCCUCCCAAGCCACUGAAAUUACAGGGGUGGGCCACGGCGCCUGGCCAGGAGGGUCUUUAAUACGGGCUUAGAGCAGCCAGCCCUGGGCUGUCCCCACCCCCAACUCCCUUUCUCAGGGCACAGGCAAGGGAGCUCCCAUCCUGUUCCCUACAUUUAUCCCCUGGUGCCCACACUAACCCCCUCAGAUUCUGCCUUGUCUGGGAGUGGGGGGCGGGGCUCUCUCUGGUUCUGUCCAAUCAGGAGCUUCCCAAAGGCUCAGGGAUGGAACCCAGGGUUCUUGAGCACUGAGGCACAUCCCCAACCCUUCUUUGUAUUUUAUUUUGAGACAAAGGUCUCACUAAGUUCCUGAGGCUGGCCUCAAACUUGUAAUCCUCCUGCCUCAGCCUCCAGGGUAGUGCGAUUACAGGUGUGCACCACCACACACAGCAGGAUUCCCCCUUCCCCAGAAAGACAACUUCUAAACAUCAUUUCACAGAUGUUUAUGCUAUUCAAUUCUGUUCAUCUGCAUCUGUGGUUGUCUUUAGUGCAGGUGAAGCCAAGUUUCCCCUUCUGGGGCAGUGGGAGGAUGGCACCUGUCCUCCUCCACGUGGGCAGGGUGUCCUAGAGCUGGGUCAGCAGGGAGCUGCCAGCAGAAAAAGAGUUCAUUCCAGGCGAGAGCUUUUAGCUCCUGAUCCAGUCUCUUCCCUCUCACCUAGCUUCUCUGUCCUCCUGAUAGCCCGUUGACUAGGAUGACCUCCUUCCUGCCCACUCACAGUGAACACGAAGAGUGAGCAAGAGUGGAGUUGUUUUAGACCCCUGAGAUUAAGGAGUUACUUGUCACCUCAGCACAACAUACCUUGUACUGACUGAUUCAGCUCCUAAACUGAUUUACUGGGGAAAAUCCAAUCGAUGGCAUCCCUGUGUCACCGAUGAUUCUCCACCUGGCCACAACUGUUCUCCCAGCAUAUAGCUGACCUAACUGUAAUCCAUGAAGAUUAAGAAAACACGUUUAUGUUUUCUGCUGAACAUUUUCUCCCUGUAUGUAUCACUUAGACUUGGAUAUAACUAUUGAUAGCAGAAAACUCAAAUUAACAAUGACAUCAACACCCCAGGUUACUAGGCCAUCUGGAGCCAAAGCAAUGAUCCCACGAGAACAAGGAAACUCAGGCUUCUUCUUGUGUGUCACUCUGCCAAUCUCCACGGGUAGCUUCCCCACAAUGGCCCAGGACGGCUGCUGAAACUCAAACUACGACAUUUGCAUUCCAGUUAGCUGAAAGAAGGAGGGGACCAGGAGGGGCAUACUCUCUCUAUAUAUAUAAUGUGUGUUACCUAUGAAUUGUUCUGUCACAUAGGACUUUUCUGUUUAUAGUCCAUGGGCUCAAACUUGGUCACAAGGCCACACCUAUUGCAAGGGAUGCUGGGACCUGGAAUAUCUAUCUGUGGCCACCAUGUAACCUGCUGAGGUUCUUGGUAAGGCAGAACGAUGCAUCCAGGGAGUGGCUCCUGCUAUCGAAUGGGAGGCUAGUCCUGCAUCUGUGAGUGGAAUGACUGAAUGACCGCUUUGGAUCUUUUCUAAUUUUUAUUGUGCAUCCCAGAUAACCAUAUUAGUGCAAAUUGAUUUUCUCCAUUUGCGAUUUCAUUGAGAUUGAUUUGCAAAUGUUCGAGAACCGACCAGGUUGAAGGGUGUGACUCGUUCUCUCUGCCAGUGGCUGCUGGACUGAGCUCCACCCGCUCACCCAGACAGCAGAGCUGCGGAAUCGAGGAGCCCAUGUUCCUGCCCCCCCCCCUCCAGGCGACCUGGACUUGGGCUGAGAUAAUUUCCCUUGAGCAGUUUGAGACGGGGCCUCACUGAGCUGUUUAGGGCCUCGCUGUUGCUGAGGCUGGCUUUGAACUUGAGAUCCUCCUGCCUCAGCCUCCCAAGCUGCUGGAAUUACAGGUGUGUGUCCAGCUCCUUCCAGUGAUGGACAGGGCAGUAAUAGAGGCUGGGGCAGCUUAGAGGGAGGGGGAGGGGCAGAGCAGACAGGGAAGCUCCCUGGAGCCCGAGGCUCGGGACAGCAGCAGGGUCAGCUGUGGGCGCCCGUGUGGCCCAGUUUGCUUGAGACUUGAGCCUGGGCCGAGGGUAAACCUGCCCAAGCCUACUUUGGAUGUGCAGGUGGGGACCGAGUAUUGGAAUCGGGCACUGUCAUCACUACCCCACUCCAGGAAGUGCUCCCGCGGCCAGUUCUCAACACCGCGGCUCCAGAGACUCUUUGAAAACCUGGUUAGAUCAUCUCUCUCCUCUGCUGGAAGCGUGCUCAUUUCACCCCAGGUAAAUGUGCAAGCCCCCCUACGAGGCUGCCAGCUCGGUGCAACCUGGCCCUUCCCUACCUCUCCUGGUUCUCUCCAUUUCAGCUGUCCUGGCCUCCAACACAAGGGUGAUCUCCAACCACAGGGCCUUUGCACUCUCUGUUCCCCCUGGCAAGCUCUCCCGGCCCCACCCCGGUAUCUACAGAGCUCACUCACCUCCUUCAAUGUCACGCUCUAGGAAUCCUAUUUAAAAUUGUAAACUUGGCCCCAAUCCAGCUUUUCCCAGUCCCUCUUCUUCUGUAUUGCUUUUUAAGGCAUUCAAACGAUUUAAUAGAUAACUUAAUUAUUUCUUUAGUCUCUAUCAGCUUUUCUUACUAAAAUGGUGAGCUCUGUGAGGCAGAGAUCCUUGUCUCUUUUGUUCUUUGAAGUCUCCCCAGCCCCGGGAGGAUACCUGGGAUACUCUAAGUGCACAGGGCUGGUCACUGAAUGAAGGAACCAAGGAAUCUAGUCCAAUCCCCCAUUUCAAAGGGGACGCGGAGCCCUUGGAUUGCACAGAGAAAAUCAAUGGCAGGACCCAGGGUCUGACCAGGCACCUCUGGACUCACAGCUCAGUGCUCCUUCUGCCCCUCCAGGGGAGAUCGGUGGGCUCUGCUGGGCCCCGCGGAGAUCUCCUCUGACCCCUUUAACGGCUCUGUGUGCUCCUCCCCACCUCCGGAGCUCUGUGGCUGACCGCUGGCCCCAGGACCCAUCCCAGCAGUUUCUCCUGGGCUGUAGGAGCCACCUCAUGACAGGGAGGGCUGGAAGCAGCCGAGAUUUUGCAUUCCUUGCCCCCCCCCGCAGGCCCCCAGGUGGCAGUAAAGGACCAGCAGCCUGGGCCCCAAGCAGGAGCCACUGGGUGGAGAGGGAUGAGCCUCCUUAAAUGAGGCUGGUCUCAAGAAACUCCUUGUCCUUCUUAAGUUGCUGAUGACUACCUGGACUCCCCAGGAGCCUUGGCUGCAGCCAGGGCCUUGCCUGGACGCCCCCCCCCACCCCCCGAAGGCUUCCUUCUUUGGGCCCACCCUGCCUCACCCGCGGUCUUGCUGGAUUCUGAAGUGAGUAUUUCCUUCAUGAAUCACCUGCAAAUGAGUCCUCGUGGCAAGGACCGGCUCCUAGCAGAGCCCCGUCGAAGACAUGGGCUUCUGUGCUCAUCUGGGGUGGACUUGUGGACCCGCAGGGCAUAGGAGAAAGACCACAAGUUCCACAGUGAGCUCAGCCCCGGGCUUGCUGGGAGACUUGGCCAAAGCAUUCUGUUCUCAGUCCAACUUCCCCUCCAUGAGCAAUGAUGUGAAUUUUCUCUUUCUUCAGAAUUGCUGUGAGGAUUAAGAAAGAUGGAAUAGAAGUGUGUUCUGCACUGGCCGGCACAUAGUAGUUGCACAAUAAACACCAGCUCCUUCUGA